rnacentral:lncRNA from 1 species
AGGCAAUGCGUCACCCUGCUUCGGCUCGCGCACGGUGCGUGCACCCACUGACCUGCGACCACUGUCUGGCACUCCCUAGUGAGAUGAACCCUGUACCUCAGAUGGAAAUGCAGAAAUCACCCGUCUUCUGCGUCGCUCAUGCUGGGAGCUGUAGACUGGAGCUGUUCCUAUUCGGCCAUCUUGGCUCUUCCCCCGUUUUACAAUUUAAAGGGCCAUCUUGGCUCUUCCCCCGUUUUACAAUUUAAAGGUGAUUAGGCUUCCUAAAUGCUUCAUAAAAUGCCACUAUGACUCUUAACUGUACAGCUUGCCUACUCUACAGCUGGGUAAGGCCUGGGACACAUGGAGUUAGACACUGGAAAGGCUCAGAUCUUAUCUGCAUUUCUGUUUGGGUCGUAGGCUCCACACCUAGUACAUAAUUAAAAUCCCUUACCAAGGUUUUCACCAAAAGUAAAAGAUGCUAAGAGUUAACAUUUUAAUAUGUAAUUGAGACUACUGAAAAAAUAAGUUUACAUACAAGGUUUGUAAAGGGAAUAAAAUGUGUUUUUGUGAGAGAUUAUAAGAAAGUAUGGGAAUGUAAAUUUUUGUCUAGGUUAGAGGGUUAAAGAUUUAUUUUGAAUUAAAAAGCUAAAGGUUAGAACAAGUUGUGAAUGGUUUAUAAAAAUUAAUUACAAGAGAUUCUAUGUGUGAAUGUAUUGGCUAAAGUUAAAAUGGCAUUAUUCAUUUUUUUUCUAUAAAUUGGACAUUGGAAUAGAAGAACAACAGAGUUUUCUUAGAACAUUGUUCUGCUCUGAGAAAAAAAGUUGUAAAGGGUUAUAAAAGGUUUAUGAAAAUCUUACCUUAUGGUCAAACUAAUUAAAACAAUAGAUUUAUAAAAUGUCAUUAAAAACUAGCUUUAACAUAAAAAAUACACUAAUGGGAACAUAAAAUUUGUUUUUCUCUUUUAAAAAGGAUUUUUAUGUAAUAUUAAAAGAUAAAAGGUUUUAGUUUACCUUUUAAGUAAGCUACAAAAGGGAAAAGUGGAGGGAAGGAAAGAAAGGAGACAGAGUCAAUUGUCCUAAUGCUAUCUU